rnacentral:tRNA from 1 species
GAGGGUACAGCUCAGUGGUAGAGUGCGUGCUUAGCAUGCACAAGGUCUUGGGUUCAAUCCCCAGUACCUCCA